UUUGUUAUUUAUUAUUCAUAGAAAAUACACCUGACUCCAUCCAUUGACUUCUAUAAGAAAUUAGCCUUGGACUGUUCUGGUCAACAGGUAGCUGUUGACUUAUUCCUUCUCAGUGGACAGUAUUCUGAUUUGGCUUCUCCGGGACCUUGAGAAGUUAGAGAAAAGCUGAGUGAAAUGCCUGCAGUUACUUUGGUGUGGUAAUAGUAGCAUUAUUUAAAAGGAGUUUGUGGAGUGUCAGAAGGAGGAGCAUUUGGGGUUGGGAACCAGCAGGAGUCUGGAGGAUGAGAGGGACUUCCUGUCUCUGCCCAAUGUCAACCCAGAUGCCAGGUAUACAGUACAGAUGUCAGCGGAAAAGAGUCUUCCUGACAUGCAGUUGGGUUCUUUUCAGUCAGCACUCUUGUAUACAUCAAGCAAAGGUGAAAGAAGAAUACUAUCCGUACUUUGUGUUUGCCAGUAGUUUCAACUCUGAAUGAAGUCUUUCUGGAAGCUGAUGUUCAAGCAAUUUCAGGGUUAUUGGCCAAUAUGGGUUUUUUCUGAAGCACAUAUUACUGACCAGAAAUCAUUCCAGACUGGACAAACGUGUAUCUAGAAGAACACAUUUUGCUGUGUCAAGUGCAAACCCAGCCCUUGGUUCACCUUAUGCUCACAACUCAUCCCAGUUUGUACAGAAUUGACAAUCUCUCAGAUGAGGAAAGAUGGAUUCCUUUUUUUAGUGGCUUUUUCUAGAUGUUUUCUAAGCGUAAUCAUACUCAUUCCAGUGCUGAAUUGAGAAGAGGUUUGUUUGUUAUCUAAAGCUUUAUAUUUUUAUCUUUUUGCUAGUUAUAUGUAGAGAGAUACUGGUUCAGGGAAGCUCCUGAAAAUAGUACCUUUAUUUAGUUUCCUAAGUCAAGUCUCUAGAACAGAUGUAAGAAAUAAAGAAAAUGUCAAGUUGACCAGAGCAGCCUAUUUAUUUAAACAAAUUGAUCUGGAAGAUGUAUGGUAAGAGUGAAAUGACAUCUGAGUACCCUAGGUCCAUGUUCAAUGUAAUGCUGUCUUUGAAGUAAAGGGAAAAUAUUUAUCUGAGUUGUAAUAUUUUGCUUUUGAUAGGAAAUUUAUUAAAGUCAUAUUAUUUAUUGCCAUAUUUAUUAAAGUUAAAGCAUAAAAAUGUUAAAUCAUCAUCUAUUUACAGUUGUGCUCAAGUUAGUAUAUGUAGAGAUAGGGAGUAAUGUUUUGGUUAAAAUCUUUCAAAAUUUUUUAAAAAUUUAAGAUAUCUUUUGUAUUCAUUAUUUUUAUCAUCUUUGACAAAAUAUCUGACAAAAAUCACCUAAGGGAAGAAAGAUUUAUUCUACCUCACCGUUUCAGAGGUGUCAGUCCAUCAUGGUGGGGAGGUGUUGUGGAUCAGAGCAGUUCCCAUCAUGCAGCCAGGAGCAGAGAAAAGGAACACAGGAACCAGCCAGGGCAAGAUAUUCCCUUCAAGGACACCCCAGGGACCUUCUUCCUCCAACCAGGCCCCACCUCCCACCUUCACC